GACGAACGCUGGCGGCGUGCCUAAUACAUGCAAGUUGAGCGCUGAAGGUUGGUACUUGUACCAACUGGAUGAGCAGCGAACGGGUGAGUAACGCGUGGGGAAUCUGCCUUUGAGCGGGGGACAACAUCUGGAAACGAAUGCUAAUACCGCAUAAUAACUUUAAACACAAGUUUUAAGUUUGAAAGAUGCAUUUGCUUCACUCAAAGAAGAUCCCGCGUUGUAUUAGCUAGUUGGUGAGGUAAAGGCCCACCAAGGCGAUGAUACCUAGCCGACCCGAGAGGGGGAUCGGCCACAAUGGGACCGAGACACGGCUCAAACUUCUACGGGAAGCAGCAGUAGGGGAACUUCGGCAAAGGGCGGAAGGCUGACCGAGCAACGCCGCGUGGGGGAAGAAGGUUUUCGGAUCGUAAAACUCUGUUUGUAGGGAAGGACGUGGGGGAGAAUGAAAAGCUCAUCAAGUGACGGUAACUACCCAGAAAGGGACGGCUAACUACGUG
rnacentral:rRNA from 1 species